GUGGGGAAUUUUGGACAAUGGGGGCAACCCUGAUCCAGCAAUGCCGCGUGAGUGAAGAAGGCCUUCGGGUUGUAAAGCUCUUUUGUCAGGGAAGAAACAGCAGCUCUAACACAGUCUGCGAAUGACGGUACCUGAAGAAUAAGCACCGGCUAACUACGUGCCAGCAGCCGCGGUAAUACGUAGGGUGCGAGCGUUAAUCGGAAUUACUGGGCGUAAAGCGUGCGCAGGCGGUUAUACAAGACAGGCGUGAAAUCCCCGGGCUUAACCUGGGAAUGGCGUCUGUGACUGUAUAGCUAGAGUGUGUCAGAGGGGGGUGGAAUUCCACGUGUAGCAGUGAAAUGCGUAGAUAUGUGGAGGAACACCAAUGGCGAAGGCAGCCCCCUGGGAUAACACUGACGCUCAUGCACGAAAGCGUGGGGAGCAAACAGGAUUAGAUACCCGUGUAGUCC
rnacentral:rRNA from 1 species